rnacentral:rRNA from 2 species
UUAAGCGACUAAGCGUACACGGUGGAUGCCCUGGCAGUCAGAGGCGAUGAAGGACGUGCUAAUCUGCGAAAAGCGUCGGUAAGGUGAUAUGAACCGUUAUAGCCGGCGAUGUCCGAAUGGGGAAACCCAGUGCAAUUCGUUGCACUAUCGUUAACUGAAUACAUAGGUUAACGAGGCGAACCGGGGGAACUGAAACAUCUAAGUACCCCGAGGAAAAGAAAUCAACCGAGAUUCCCCCAGUAGCGGCGAGCGAACGGGGAGCAGCCCGGAGUCUGAAUCAGCUUGUGUGUUAGUGGAAGCGUCUGGAAAGUCGCAGGGUACAGGGUGAUACUCCCGUACACUAAAGCACACAGGUUGUGAACUCGAAGAGUAGGGCGGGACACGUGGUAUCCUGUCUGAAUAUGGGGGGACCAUCCUCCAAGGCUAAAUACUCCUGACUGACCGAUAGUGAACCAGUACCGUGAGGGAAAGGCGAAAAGAACCCCGGCGAGGGGAGUGAAAAAGAACCUGAAACCGUGUACGUACAAGCAGUAGGAGCCCACUUGUUGGGUGACUGCGUACCUUUUGUAUAAUGGGUCAGCGACUUAUAUUCUGUAGCAAGGUUAACCGUAUAGGGGAGCCGCAGGGAAACCGAGUCUUAACUGGGCGUUAAGUUGCAGGGUAUAGACCCGAAACCCGGUGAUCUAGCCAUGGGCAGGUUGAAGGUUGGGUAACACUAACUGGAGGACCGAACCGACUAAUGUUGAAAAAUUAGCGGAUGACUUGUGGCUGGGGGUGAAAGGCCAAUCAAACCGGGAGAUAGCUGGUUCUCCCCGAAAGCUAUUUAGGUAGCGCCUCGUGAAUUCAUCUUCGGGGGUAGAGCACUGUUUCGGCUAGGGGGUCAUCCCGACUUACCAACCCGAUGCAAACUACGAAUACCGAAGAAUGUUAUCACGGGAGACACACGGCGGGUGCUAACGUCCGUCGUGAAGAGGGAAACAACCCAGACCGCCAGCUAAGGUCCCAAAGUCAUGGUUAAGUGGGAAACGAUGUGGGAAGGCCCAGACAGCCAGGAUGUUGGCUUAGAAGCAGCCAUCAUUUAAAGAAAGCGUAAUAGCUCACUGGUCGAGUCGGCCUGCGCGGAAGAUGUAACGGGGCUAAACCAUGCACCGAAGCUGCGGCAGCGACACUAUGUGUUGUUGGGUAGGGGAGCGUUCUGUAAGCCGUUGAAGGUGGCCUGUGAGGGUUGCUGGAGGUAUCAGAAGUGCGAAUGCUGACAUAAGUAACGAUAAUGCGGGUGAAAAACCCGCACGCCGGAAGACCAAGGGUUCCUGUCCAACGUUAAUCGGGCAGGGUGAGUCGACCCCUAAGGCGAGGCCGAAAGGCGUAGUCGAUGGGAAACAGGUUAAUAUUCCUGUACUCGGUGUUACUGCGAAGGGGGGACGGAGAAGGCUAUGUUGGCCGGGCGACGGUUGUCCCGGUUUAAGCAUGUAGGCGGAUGUUCCAGGUAAAUCCGGAACGUCACUAACGCUGAGGUGUGAUGACGAGGCACUACGGUGCUGAAGUGACAAAUGCCCUGCUUCCAGGAAAAGCCUCUAAGCAUCAGGUAACAUCAAAUCGUACCCCAAACCGACACAGGUGGUCAGGUAGAGAAUACCAAGGCGCUUGAGAGAACUCGGGUGAAGGAACUAGGCAAAAUGGUGCCGUAACUUCGGGAGAAGGCACGCUGAUGGUAGGUGAAGUGACUUGCUCAUGGAGCUGAAAUCAGUCGAAGAUACCAGCUGGCUGCAACUGUUUAUUAAAAACACAGCACUGUGCAAACACGAAAGUGGACGUAUACGGUGUGACGCCUGCCCGGUGCCGGAAGGUUAAUUGAUGGGGUUAUCCUCGCGGAGAAGCUCUUGAUCGAAGCCCCGGUAAACGGCGGCCGUAACUAUAACGGUCCUAAGGUAGCGAAAUUCCUUGUCGGGUAAGUUCCGACCUGCACGAAUGGCGUAAUGAUGGCCAGGCUGUCUCCACCCGAGACUCAGUGAAAUUGAACUCGCUGUGAAGAUGCAGUGUACCCGCGGCAAGACGGAAAGACCCCGUGAACCUUUACUAUAGCUUGACACUGAACACUGGUCCUUGAUGUGUAGGAUAGGUGGGAGGCUUUGAAGUGUGGACGCCAGUCUGCAUGGAGCCAUCCUUGAAAUACCACCCUUUAAUGGCUGGUGUUCUAACGUGGGCCCGUAAUCCGGGUUGCGGACAGUGUCUGGUGGGUAGUUUGACUGGGGCGGUCUCCUCCUAAAGAGUAACGGAGGAGCACGAAGGUCAGCUAAUCCUGGUCGGACAUCAGGAGGUUAGUGCAAUGGCAUAAGCUGGCUUGACUGCGAGCGUGACGGCGCGAGCAGGUGCGAAAGCAGGUCAUAGUGAUCCGGUGGUUCUGAAUGGAAGGGCCAUCGCUCAACGGAUAAAAGGUACUCCGGGGAUAACAGGCUGAUACCGCCCAAGAGUUCAUAUCGACGGCGGUGUUUGGCACCUCGAUGUCGGCUCAUCACAUCCUGGGGCUGAAGUAGGUCCCAAGGGUAUGGCUGUUCGCCAUUUAAAGUGGUACGCGAGCUGGGUUUAGAACGUCGUGAGACAGUUCGGUCCCUAUCUGCCGUGGGCGCUGGAGAAUUGAGGGGGGCUGCUCCUAGUACGAGAGGACCGGAGUGGACGCAUCACUGGUGUUCGGGUUGUCAUGCCAAUGGCAUUGCCCGGUAGCUAAAUGCGGAAGAGAUAAGUGCUGAAAGCAUCUAAGCACGAAACUUGCCCCGAGAUGAGUUCUCCCUGACCCUUUAAGGGUCCUGAAGGAACGUUGAAGACGACGACGUUGAUAGGCCGGGUGUGUAAGCGCAGCGAUGCGUUGAGCUAACCGGUACUAAUGAACCGUGAGGCUUAACCUU